rnacentral:lncRNA from 1 species
GAGUGUUAGAUUUUUAGGAAACAAAAAUAAAAUAAAAGAAGAAAAAAAGAAAAGAAAAGGAAGAGUUGCCAAACCAAGAAGAAAUGGAAGGAAAAAAAAUGGGGGAAGAGGGGAGGGGGAAAAUGUCGUGUCUCUGUGAGGUGUUUCGGUGAGUGGUAGUGAGAGGGAAGGAAAAUUGAAGAAGAAUGAGAGAAGAAAAGGGAAAGAAGAAAAUAUGAAAAAAUGGGGGGCAGUGGAGAGCUUGUGGGAAAGGUUUUUAGU